AGCCCCAAAUUGAAGAGCUUCACCAAGAAGCUCACGGCCAAGAGGGAAGAAAAGCCAAGAUCAUUUCAAGCCUUCCAAAAAUUAUUUCUUUGGUUCAAACCCACUAUUUUGAGGUCCCUAAGUACCGUGGAAGAGUUGUUUGGGUCAUCCAACCAUUCGUGGGGUCAAUUGCAAACCCUAACCAAAGUGUAGAAUUGGAGAAGAAAGGUAAGUUUUACUCUUGUUUAUGUGUUGUGAACGUUUAAUUCAUGUUGUAGUAUGUUAAAAUGGAUGAAAAUUAUGAAAUGUAGUAUGUUGGAAGUUGGGUCGUGUAUGGUGUGUGAAGUUGUGUAAAUGGGUGUUGUGACUAAGUGAUGAAUUAACUCUAUUUAGUAUGUUGAUUGUUGUAGGGUGACCAAAUGAAUGAGAACUAGCGAUGUAUGUAUAUAGGUGGGUAUGUAGCCGUGUAUAUAGCCUCCAAUUUGUAGCAAAGAAUGAGUUAAUAUCGCUUAGCGUUUUAAUUGUCGUCGUUAUGAAUUCUAGUUUUGAAAUGAACAUUUAAUGACUUAAGAUUAAUGUUGAGAUUGUGUGGGCUGUUUUGAGGCUUAUUAUGCGUUGAUGUAAUUGGUAUAUUUUAUGAGAACGAUAUCGUUACAUUUUGGAUUGUGAUACAAACCAUGACUUGAAAAUGAGGAAUGUGGUAAAAAGGGGCUGCUCACGGUUGGGACUGUUUUCGGCCAACAUAGAAAAAAAAAAUUAUUAUUGGCUUGUUGGAAAAAUUAUGUGAAUUGUUUGGGAUGUCCUUGAAUAUUGUUGGUAAGGAUUCGGGUUGAUAAUUGAAUGUGUGAGCGAUAUUGUGGCUUGAAUGUAAGCCGUUAAAUUGAAUAUUUGGAAAGUUGUUGAAUGAUGUAAAAGAGAGUUACUAUUGUUAUUUUGCCUUUCGAAUUGAUUACCGAUGUUGCUAGGUUGGUUAUUGUGGUUGAUUUUGAGCGAGAUAAAUUCUCGGGUUGGCCUAUUUACAGGGGAAAUGCUGCCGAAUUUUCUGUAGAAUUUAGAGUUAGUUUGGAAUAAAUAAGUGCUUAAGUGCCUAUGGUUAAUAUGGGAUAUUCGUUGGCAUAUUUGUAGACCUUGGGGAGCCCGAGGCGUAGAUUGGGAUUAACUUUAGAUCGGCUAGCUUGGAGGGCGUUCGAGGUACAGACGCACAGUUUGGUGAUCCACCAGUCUAGGACACCCUCUUCUGCCGUUUGGAGUGCUCUUCUCAUUUCGGAGCAUACACUUUUGGUAUAUAUAUUUUGUUCGCUAUGUAUGCAUAUAUUCGUUCAGGGGUACGGCGGGGCCCUGUCCCGCCAUAUGUUUCUGUUGGUCUGUUUAGAGGUCUGUAGACGUAUUUGUGGGUGUGUGUGCCUACUUCUGUACAGAUGUGUUUGUAUGACCCUAUUCGUUAUGGCAGCCUUGUCGGCGUGCACUUUGUAUAUGUUUUGGGCCGUUGCGCCAUCCGUUAGCCUUGUCGGCUUUUGAUACAUCUGUUAGCCUUGUCGGCUUUUGAUACAUUUGAUAGCCUUGCCGGCUUUUUGACAUAUAUAUAUAUAUAUCCGCAUACGGUUGCGUUGA